GUAGGGGGUGGGAGAGGGGAGGAAAAGAGAGCAAAUAGGAGGAAUGUAGAGAAAAAGAAUUACGAAAGAAAAGAAACGCAAAAGAACAGUAAUGCAGAGAAAAAGAGAUACAGGGUCCAGCCGGCCCCAACAGCCCGCACCGAACGCCAGGGAGCGAAUGGCUCAGCCCCGCCCUCCCCGCGGUUUAAAUCCCCCACGGCCCCGCCCCGCGCAGCCGCGCUGGGGCCCCGCGCACCUGCGCGCGCCCCUCUGCUGGCCCCGCCCCCCCGCCCGUAAAUGGCGGCGGAUCCGCGCCCGCCCCGCGUCCUGCGGGGGAUGCUCGGCCCGGGCUGCGGCGGGACCGGCGCUCGGAGCGCCGUGCGGAGAUCCGUAUCGGGGCUGCUCCCGGCGCUGCGCGGCGUCCGAGGCCCUCAGUGAGAGGAACAUGAACUGACAGCCACCGAGGCCUGACGGGUUCCUGCAGUGAGAGCUCGGCGCGUGUCCGCAGAGGUGAGUGCAGCACCUGAAAGGAGAGAAAUGUGAUUUAUUUUGCUUCAAAGUUAUUUCAAGUUCUUAAAGCCCAACCAACUUUUGCUCUUGAUUUUGGUCGGGUGAAACAUGAGCAGUGGGCAGAGCUCGUGCCAUUGAUGUGGACGUGCCUGAUGCUUUCUGGGGCAGAAAAAAUAGAUUAAGCUCACCUUAUGUCAAGCAGUUAUUAAAAAAGAUUUAUAGCUCUUUAAACAUAACACCUUUUAAUUACCAUAAUGUUUCUUCUAUUAUUUUAACUCAUUUUCAGUGUAUUUUAUAAAACUUAAAAUAACACCUCCUUCCCAUAAAAAAGACUCAUCAAGCAUUAGACAAAAAGUCCUAGUGCCAGUCUCAUGCUUCCACAUCUAACAGGAGACCCUCCCCAUAACCAAACAAAAAAUCAAAAUAAUGUGCCAAAAGUAGUCCUUACUAACAUUAAAAAUACAACUCAACCGUAUCCAAAAAAACCCCAAUUUUAUUUCCUCCAAACACCAAGUACUCUUCAAAUUCUAAAUCAAAAACUCUUAAAAAAACAACAAAAACCAUCAAAAUAUACUUCAAAUACAGAAAAGCCUAAACAUAUAAUUAUUUAUUUGUCAAAGCCCACAAAAAAUAUAGAAGAGUCUAAUCAAUAUCCUACAUUAAUAAAAAACCACUAUACUA
rnacentral:lncRNA from 1 species